GGUUAAGCGACUAAGCGUACACGGUGGAUGCCCUGGCAGUCAGAGGCGAUGAAGGACGUGCUAAUCUGCGAUAAGCGUCGGUGAGGUGAUAUGAACCGUUAUAACCGGCGAUUUCCGAAUGGGGAAACCCAGUGUGUUUCGACACACUAUCAUUAACUGAAUCCAUAGGUUAAUGAGGCGAACCGGGGGAACUGAAACAUCUAAGUACCCCGAGGAAAAGAAAUCAACCGAGAUUCCCCCAGUAGCGGCGAGCGAACGGGGAGGAGCCCAGAGCCUGAAUCAGUGUGUGUGUUAGUGGAAGCGUCUGGAAAGGCGCGCGAUACAGGGUGACAGCCCCGUACACAAAAAUGCACAUGCUGUGAGCUCGAUGAGUAGGGCGGGACACGUGGUAUCCUGUCUGAAUAUGGGGGGACCAUCCUCCAAGGCUAAAUACUCCUGACUGACCGAUAGUGAACCAGUACCGUGAGGGAAAGGCGAAAAGAACCCCGGCGAGGGGAGUGAAAAAGAACCUGAAACCGUGUACGUACAAGCAGUGGGAGCCUCUUAAUGGGGUGACUGCGUACCUUUUGUAUAAUGGGUCAGCGACUUAUAUUCUGUAGCAAGGUUAACCGAAUAGGGGAGCCGAAGGGAAACCGAGUCUUAACUGGGCGUUAAGUUGCAGGGUAUAGACCCGAAACCCGGUGAUCUAGCCAUGGGCAGGUUGAAGGUUGGGUAACACUAACUGGAGGACCGAACCGACUAAUGUUGAAAAAUUAGCGGAUGACUUGUGGCUGGGGGUGAAAGGCCAAUCAAACCGGGAGAUAGCUGGUUCUCCCCGAAAGCUAUUUAGGUAGCGCCUCGUGAAUUCAUCUCCGGGGGUAGAGCACUGUUUCGGCAAGGGGGUCAUCCCGACUUACCAACCCGAUGCAAACUGCGAAUACCGGAGAAUGUUAUCACGGGAGACACACGGCGGGUGCUAACGUCCGUCGUGAAGAGGGAAACAACCCAGACCGCCAGCUAAGGUCCCAAAGUCAUGGUUAAGUGGGAAACGAUGUGGGAAGGCCCAGACAGCCAGGAUGUUGGCUUAGAAGCAGCCAUCAUUUAAAGAAAGCGUAAUAGCUCACUGGUCGAGUCGGCCUGCGCGGAAGAUGUAACGGGGCUAAACCAUGCACCGAAGCUGCGGCAGCGACACUAUGUGUUGUUGGGUAGGGGAGCGUUCUGUAAGCCUGUGAAGGUAGCCUGUGAGGGUUGCUGGAGGUAUCAGAAGUGCGAAUGCUGACAUAAGUAACGAUAAAGCGGGUGAAAAGCCCGCUCGCCGGAAGACCAAGGGUUCCUGUCCAACGUUAAUCGGGGCAGGGUGAGUCGAUCCCUAAGGCGAGGCCGAAAGGCGUAGUCGAUGGGAAACAGGUUAAUAUUCCUGUACUUGGUGUUACUGCGAAGGGGGGACGGAGAAGGCUAUGUUGGUCGGGCGACGGUUGUCCCGGUUUAAGCGUGUAGGCUGGUUUUCCAGGCAAAUCCGGAAAAUCAAGGCUGAGGCGUGAUGACGAGGCACUACGGUGCUGAAGUGACAAAUGCCCUGCUUCCAGGAAAAGCCUCUAAGCAUCAGGUAACAUCAAAUCGUACCCCAAACCGACACAGGUGGUCAGGUAGAGAAUACCAAGGCGCUUGAGAGAACUCGGGUGAAGGAACUAGGCAAAAUGGUGCCGUAACUUCGGGAGAAGGCACGCUGAUAUGUAGGUGAAGCGACUUGCUCGUGGAGCUGAAAUCAGUCGAAGAUACCAGCUGGCUGCAACUGUUUAUUAAAAACACAGCACUGUGCAAACACGAAAGUGGACGUAUACGGUGUGACGCCUGCCCGGUGCCGGAAGGUUAAUUGAUGGGGUUAGCGGUAACGCGAAGCUCUUGAUCGAAGCCCCGGUAAACGGCGGCCGUAACUAUAACGGUCCUAAGGUAGCGAAAUUCCUUGUCGGGUAAGUUCCGACCUGCACGAAUGGCGUAAUGAUGGCCAGGCUGUCUCCACCCGAGACUCAGUGAAAUUGAACUCGCUGUGAAGAUGCAGUGUACCCGCGGCAAGACGGAAAGACCCCGUGAACCUUUACUAUAGCUUGACACUGAACAUUGAGCCUUGAUGUGUAGGAUAGGUGGGAGGCUUUGAAGUGUGGACGCCAGUCUGCAUGGAGCCGACCUUGAAAUACCACCCUUUAAUGUUUGAUGUUCUAACGUUGGCCCGUAAUCCGGGUUGCGGACAGUGUCUGGUGGGUAGUUUGACUGGGGCGGUCUCCUCCUAAAGAGUAACGGAGGAGCACGAAGGUUGGCUAAUCCUGGUCGGACAUCAGGAGGUUAGUGCAAUGGCAUAAGCCAGCUUGACUGCGAGCGUGACGGCGCGAGCAGGUGCGAAAGCAGGUCAUAGUGAUCCGGUGGUUCUGAAUGGAAGGGCCAUCGCUCAACGGAUAAAAGGUACUCCGGGGAUAACAGGCUGAUACCGCCCAAGAGUUCAUAUCGACGGCGGUGUUUGGCACCUCGAUGUCGGCUCAUCACAUCCUGGGGCUGAAGUAGGUCCCAAGGGUAUGGCUGUUCGCCAUUUAAAGUGGUACGCGAGCUGGGUUUAGAACGUCGUGAGACAGUUCGGUCCCUAUCUGCCGUGGGCGCUGGAGAACUGAGGGGGGCUGCUCCUAGUACGAGAGGACCGGAGUGGACGCAUCACUGGUGUUCGGGUUGUCAUGCCAAUGGCACUGCCCGGUAGCUAAAUGCGGAAGAGAUAAGUGCUGAAAGCAUCUAAGCACGAAACUUGCCCCGAGAUGAGUUCUCCCUGACUCCUUGAGAGUCCUGAAGGAACGUUGAAGACGACGACGUUGAUAGGCCGGGUGUGUAAGCGCAGCGAUGCGUUGAGCUAACCGGUACUAAUGAACCGUGAGGCUUAACCUU
rnacentral:rRNA from 1 species